UACGAAGGGGGCUAGCGUUGCUCGGAAUCACUGGGCGUAAAGGGUGCGUAGGCGGGUCUUUUAAGUCAGGGGUGAAAUCCUGGAGCUCAACUCCAGAACUGCCUUUGAUACUGAAGAUCUUGAGUCCGGGAGAGGUGAGUGGAACUCCGAGUGUAGAGGUGAAAUUCGUAGAUAUUCGGAAGAACACCAGUGGCGAAGGCGGCUCACUGGCCCGGUACUGACGCUGAGGUGCGAAAGCGUGGGGAGCAAACAGG
rnacentral:rRNA from 1 species